CUCAUCAAAAUCAAAAAUCUAAUUUCUUUUACAGGACCCAGAUGCUAUACAGUGGGAAAACCAGCCUGGCAACAGUGCGUAUUAAUAAAAGGACACCACAUCCUGCCAAAUUCCAGCUGCGCUAAUUGUAUUGUGUUCACAGAGCUCACAAGCUAUCAGAAAGUUGUAUGGCAACCAUCUCCGGCGCCAAAUAGAACUGGCAGACAUAGAAAUUCAGUACAAGAAGAAAAAGAUGGAAAAUCUUGCACUGGAGUCCGAAAUAAAAAAAGAGGACAAUUAGGAAACUGGACCUUGAAAUAAAAAAACUUGAGAGGGAGCUCCAAGAAGAUGACACAGCUCAAAAUAAAAAUUAGCAAUCAGUACAACCAAGUCAUCGUUAUAAGGCAUCGCCCUCUUUUGCCCACCCCCAGCACCAGGUGUGGCCACUAGCCUAUAUGAAGGCCCAAAAUUGUGUGUUCCUUUCUGCUCUGACAAUGGCAUGCCCAUUCGUGCGAGAUGUGGUUGAUGAAGAAGCACUUGUGCUGAGGAGAGCCUUCAGGCGAGAAAGGGUCUUCAGGGACCGGUUGGACCCACUGGCCUUCCCUGAUGACCAUCUAUAUGAAAGAUACAGGUUUUCUGCAGAUGGCAUCAGGU